UGGAGCCAGGGUUUUCCGUCGGCUUCUUCCUCAACAUGUGCACAAUAAGCCGCUUGAUCUUGAAAUCGGACCUGGAUAGGGUCGAUGUAAUUUGUGUCUGGAUGCUAAAUCAUGGAUGAUAAAGUGGCUAGAGCAUCAGCGAACUCAUUCUGUAUUCUCGGAACAUGUUGGAAUUAUGUUUUUCUGAACCUCUUUCUCAACUCCUGUAUGUGAUGCAAAUAACGGAGUAUAUUGGAAUUCUUGGACCCACUCUUCUCGGACCUAGUGUAUGAGUAGGUUCGAAUCCCC
rnacentral:lncRNA from 1 species